AUGGGGGGACGGAUCGCGGAAGGUUGUCCGGGUGUUGGAAGUCCCGGUCGCUGCAUUGGAGAAGGCACUUAGGCAAAUCCGGGUGCGCAAUUCAAGGGUGUGGCGCGAGCUCCUUCGGGAGCGAAGCAAUUGGAAGUGGUUCCAAGAAAAGCCUCUAAGCUUCAGUCUAACGAUGACCGUACCGCAAACCGACACAGGUGGGCGAGAUGAGUAUUCUAAGGCGCUUGAGAGAACUCGGGAGAAGGAACUCGGCAAAUUGGUACCGUAACUUCGGGAUAAGGUACGCCCUUGUAGCUUGACUGGCCUGCGCCAGGAGGGUGAAGGGGUUGCAAUAAACUGGUGGCUGCGACUGUUUAAUAAAAACACAGCACUCUGCAAACACGAAAGUGGACGUAUAGGGUGUGACGCCUGCCCGGUGCCGGAAGAUUAAAUGAUGGGGUGCAAGCUCUUGAUUGAAGUCCCGGUAAACGGCGGCCGUAACUAUAACGGUCCUAAGGUAGCGAAAUUCCUUGUCGGGUAAGUUCCGACCUGCACGAAUGGCGUAACGAUGGCCACACUGUCUCCUCCCGAGACUCAGCGAAGUUGAAGUGUUUGUGAUGAUGCAAUCUACCCGCGGCUAGACGGAAAGACCCCAUGAACCUUUACUGUAGCUUUGCAUUGGACUUUGAACCGAUCUGUGUAGGAUAGGUGGGAGGCUAUGAAACCGGAACGCUAGUUUCGGUGGAGCCGUCCUUGAAAUACCACCCUGGUUUGUUUGAGGUUCUAACCUUGGCCCGUGAUCCGGGUCGGGGACAGUGCAUGGUAGGCAGUUUGACUGGGGCGGUCUCCUCCCAAAGCGUAACGGAGGAGUACGAAGGUACGCUAGGUACGGUCGGAAAUCGUGCUGAUAGUGCAAUGGCAUAAGCGUGCUUAACUGCGAGACCGACAAGUCGAGCAGGUGCGAAAGCAGGUCAUAGUGAUCCGGUGGUUCUGUAUGGAAGGGCCAUCGCUCAACGGAUAAAAGGUACUCUGGGGAUAACAGGCUGAUACCGCCCAAGAGUUCAUAUCGACGGCGGUGUUUGGCACCUCGAUGUCGGCUCAUCUCAUCCUGGGGCUGUAGCCGGUCCCAAGGGUAUGGCUGUUCGCCAUUUAAAGAGGUACGUGAGCUGGGUUUAAAACGUCGUGAGACAGUUUGGUCCCUAUCUGCCGUGGGCGUUGGAUAUUUGAAGGGGGCUGCUCCUAGUACGAGAGGACCGGAGUGGACGAACCUCUGGUGUACCGGUUGUCACGCCAGUGGCAUCGCCGGGUAGCUAUGUUCGGAAGAGAUAACCGCUGAAAGCAUCUAAGCGGGAAACUCGCCUUAAGAUGAGAUAUCCCUGGGGACUAGAUCCCCUUGAAGGGUCGUUCGAGACCAGGACGUUGAUAGGUCAGGUGUGUAAGCGCAGUAAUGCGUUCAGCUAACUGAUACUAAUUGCCCGUAAGGCUUGAUC
rnacentral:rRNA from 1 species